GCCUCGGUAACUCAACCUGGUAGAGUGCGGCUCUCAUAAGGCCGUGGUUGUGGGUUCAAAUCCCAUCCGAGGCA
rnacentral:tRNA from 1 species